UCUCUCGUACGCCGCAGACACCACGCCUCCCUCCAGUUCCUCUUCCGGGCGCGGCAGCACAACACCGCGGCCCCCGCCUCAUUCCCGAUUCCCCCCCAAAUCCAAGCAAUGGAGCGAGCGGUCGCCGAGGAUUCCGCGCCGCCGGCGCUGACUCCUCCCUCUCGUACGGCCCCGCGCCGCUGCGCGGCGCCAUUCGCCACCUCCGCCUCCCCUUGCCGCCACUGCGGGGGUCCUCCUGCUCGUCCUCCCUCCUCGAGGAUCCAAACCCUAACGAAGGGGUCCGAUCGAUUGGGGGGAGAAGGCGGCGUCUACACCGACGCAUGCCGUCGCUGCGUGGUCGCCGCAUGUCUGUAGGUCCGCGGGGGCUGCGCGUUACGCCUCUCCGCGUGGCCGCGGCACGGCUGGAGGACCACAGCGACGGCUCCACCACAAUGUCGUGACGUCUCCGCUGAAUGAAGCAAGGAAAGCUAAUCAGCAGGCUAUGGUUGCUGAGAAGAAGAGGAUGUAGCCUCAUGGCGAGAGUGAGGUGUUUCUAAGGGAAGUACAAGAAAUGCGAGAAGGAGCCUGCACCUUAUGGAUGGGAUGGUGAGCUCCUCUUUUCACUCUAUUACAUUCAUAGUGGUUUGACGCAUACAGAAAGAUAUUCUUACAGUGAAAUAUCAGAAGAAUGCAUAGACUGGUAUAGUAUAUUGAACUGACAUGUGAAAGAAAAAGCCAAAAACUGAAAACACGCUGCUGUUUGUUUAUUGUGUAACCACUCUGUUUAUUGUGUAACCACUCUCACCAUCUCAUGUGUUUUGUACUUUUGCUUAAUCUCUGAUGAUUCAUAGAGAAAAAGUAUUACUCCAGUGAAACGUCAGAAGAACGCAUAAAACUGGUACAGUAUAUUUGUAAUGCCAUGUGCAAAAACUGAUUAAACACCACUGUUUGUUUAUUGCACAACCACUCUCUUAUGUGUUGUUUAAUCUCUGGCAAUUUGCUGCUUUUUUUCACAUUAGGGUCUAGCUUGUAUGUGUUUUGGAGGAUGGCUGAUUAGGCAUUAACCUUUGGGCGAUUCUUAUCAAUGAUAUUUCUUUUACAGUUUGAUCGGAUAGAAUUAUGUGGAACAUAAAGAUCACAAGGCUAAGUUUACUGAAUAGCUUGGUACAUCCUGGAAAUGCCAAUGAACAAGAAAAAUAAGCUAAGUUUGUUAGCAACAUAAGGAUAUAUAAGAUUAGCAAAUGCCUGCUAUCAUUUUCCUGGUAUCAUUCUGCUGCAACCAUUUACUUGCUACAUAAGUAAUAUUAUAUCUAGGGAUGAUGCAAGUCCCACCUUUUUUUGGGUUAUUGGGUUGACCCAAAAUUUGAUAAAAUGAACUAGAAUGGCAUGCUACGUAAUUAUUUUGGGAGAAAAAAUGAACUAAAGUGAGAAACCCAAAAACACCAAUGGGUACCCACUUGCAUCCCUUAUUUAUAUCUAUAUUAUACAACUAUUGCCAUUUGAGUGCCUUCUUUGGGCCUUUUGUUCCAUUUACAGCGCUCAAUUUUAUGCGCAGUAUAUAAUAAAUUUGAGAACUCAUAAUGUGCCUUUCUCUAUUCGAAUCAUUUACCUGCAUCUGAGAGAUCUGCGACAUUGGCUUUGAUUGAAUUUUUACUAGGUUGGAAAUGCAGUUCAGCACACGGGGCAAUUGAACAUGCUGCCCGCCGUCUUAUGCUCCUUUGGUUUUCCUUAUAAUUUUUAUAGCAAAUAGAGUUACUGGUAUUUAUUUGGGGGGCAAACAAAAACAUUGUUUUGGUGCAUAGUCAAGUUUUGCUCCAGACUCGAUCUAAUGAUUAGACGCAAAUACAGAGUUACUGGUGUUUAUUUUGAGGGCAACCUGAAACGGCAACACUGUCUUGAUUCAUAGUUCAAGCUGCUAAUGGUUGGCCUCAAACCAGUUUCGGUGGUUCGGGUUCUCAUUUGGUCUCGCCGGGUUCAGUGGAAAAUGGUUUGAGCAGCGUGCUGGUGUGGUUUGGUUCAGUUUAGCAACUAAAACAAUUUGGAUCGGUGUAGUACGGUUUAUAUUUGGUUUGACUUUUUUUGCAUACAACUCAAUGUAUAGACUAUAGUUUGGUCACGCCGCUGGCACUGGCACCGGCGGCGGCGGCACGACGGCUCGCUGCUAACGCUGGCCAAGUGAGCAACUUGUUGCUGCGAGGCCGUCAGAUACCCACCGUGGCAUCCUUGGCCACAUAGUAGUCGUCGCUGUUGCGGCAAUUUAAAAAAUGGUUUGGUUCUUAGACCAUUAGCAGGUUUUCAUAGUCAACUUACCUUAGAACUAGUUAGUUGGCCUGUGCUAACGCUACGGG